AGAACCCCGGCGAGGGGAGUGAAAAAGAACCUGAAACCGUGUACGUACAAGCAGUGGGAGCCCCACCACUAAGCCAGUGGUGAACUCCACAUACGCAUCCUUUGCUGAGGAUACGGUUAACGGAGCGAAAGCGACGUUCAACCGCAAAAGAAGCAGAGGGGGCUUAGUGGUGGGGUGACUGCGUACCUUUUGUAUAAUGGGUCAGCGACUUAUAUUCUGUAGCAAGGUUAACCGUAUAGGGGAGCCGGAGGGAAACCGAGUCUUAAUUGGGCGUUAAGUUGCAGGGUAUAGACCCGAAACCCGGUGAUCUAGCCAUGGGCAGGUUGAAGGUUGGGUAACACUAACUGGAGGACCGAACCGAC
rnacentral:rRNA from 1 species